rnacentral:misc_RNA from 1 species
GAUGAAGAACGUAGCGAAAUGCGAUACGUAGUGUGAAUUGCAGAAUUCAGUGAAUCAUCGAAUCUUUGAACGCACAUUGCACCUCUCGGUAUUCCGGGAGGUAUGCCUGUUCGAGCGUCAAUUGUACCCUCAAGCUCUGCUUGGUGUUGGGUGUUUGUUCCGCCUCUGUGUGUGAACUCGCCUCAAAACAAUUGGCAGCCGGCGUACUUGUUUCGGAGCGCAGCACAUUUUGCGAUCCAGAUCAACGUACAGCGGCAUCCAAGAAGCCUUAUUUAACGCUCUUGACCUCGGAUCAGGUAGGGAUACCCGCUGAACUUAAGCAUAUCAAUAAGCGGAGGA